CUCUCCUGUCACAAGUCACCAUCCAACUGUCGGCUGCGGACUUGGGGAAAGGCAGUGUCAGCAACUGAAUGAUGCCUGUCAAACUAUAUGCAAUCACAUCAGGCAACUUCUGCAUAACGUAAAAUAGGACGAAGGAGAAAAGCUGAAUAGCUUUGUGUUUCCAGUCAUUACAGCUAUGGAAUAAAGACUCAAGUACCUCGAUGUGAGAGGUAAGU
rnacentral:lncRNA from 1 species